UACGUAUGGUGCAAGCGUUAUCCGGAUUUACUGGGUGUAAAGGGAGCGCAGGCGGCUUUGCAAGUCUGACGUGAAAGGCCGGGGCUCAACCCCGGGACUGCAUUGGAAACUGUAAAGCUAGAGUGCCGGAGAGGUAAGCGGAAUUCCUAGUGUAGCGGUGAAAUGCGUAGAUAUUAGGAGGAACACCAGUGGCGAAGGCGGCUUACUGGACGGCAACUGACGCUGAGGCUCGAGAGCGUGGGGAGCAAACAGG
rnacentral:rRNA from 1 species